AUGAACGCUGGCGGCGUGCUUAACACAUGCAAGUCGAACGAGAAGUGAAGACGGAAACCUUCGGGCGGAAGGCUUUAUUUCGAGUGGCGGACGGGUGAGUAACGCGUGGGUAACCUGCCUCAUACAGGGGGAUAACAGUUGGAAACGACUGUUAAUACCGCAUAAGACCACAGCACCGCAUGGUGCGGGGGUAAAAACUCCGGUGGUAUGAGAUGGACCCGCGUUCGAUUAGCCAGUUGGCGGGGUAACGGCCCACCAAAGCGACGAUCGAUAGCCGAUCUGAGAGGAUGACCGGCCACAUUGGGACUGAGACACGGCCCAAACUCCUACGGGAGGCAGCAGUGGGGAAUAUUGCACAAUGGGGGAAACCCUGAUGCAGCGACGCCGCGUGAGUGAAGAAGUAUUUCGGUAUGUAAAGCUCUAUCAGCAGGGAAGAAAAUGACGGUACCUGAGUAAGAAGCCCCGGCUAACUACGU
rnacentral:rRNA from 1 species